UGUCAUCCCCUGUGUUACUCCUCCAGUUUACUCCUCUUGCUUUCCUCUUGCCUCCUGUGUAUUUUAACCUUUGAUGGACUUUGUUUUAAUUCCAGGCCAGUCACCUGAUUGAAAAGGACUCUCUGGUGGAUUCUGCCGAUAGAUGAGGAGUAGACACCUGUUGACUCCCUGCUACCCUGAGCUGGGGUCGACGUUUGGGAAUGACCUUCCUGUGAUUUGAACUUUUCAACAACAUCAAGCCUGCUGCAGCAACAAAGCCACAGACCCAAAGGACUUUUUCCCCUCACACCCUCUCAGCAUAAGUGCUCUUUGAACUUGAGGGUAGACAAUAUAAGUUUUCUUUUGGACCUAAGGUGAUACAUAUUUAUUAAUAGAAACUUUUAAAGCUUUAAUGUUUUAUUCUUUCAGCCACUUUCUUUAUCAUCCUACCAUAAAAAAACACGACUAUUAUGAAUUUGAACCCUAUGUGAGGCCUGUUGGAAAUAUUGAAAUCAUGGGGGCUCCAUUAGAGUAGUCCAAGAGCCUUAAUCAGGAAAGAAGAUGAAAUAA